UGGCAGAAACACACUGGACCCAUGGAAAGCAGCAAGAUGGUGACUCCAUCACAGCUUCCUGGCCUUCUGCUCCUCUGGGUUCCAGCCUCUCAUGGUGAGAUUGUGCUGACCCAGUCUCCUGCUGUCCUGUCCAUGGCUCCAAAAGAAGGAGUCACCAUCACCUGCGGGGCGAGUCAGAACAUUAACAAGUGGUUAGCCCGAUAUCAGCAGGAGCCAGGGAGAGCUCCUAAGCUCCUGAUCUAUACAACAUCCAAGCUGGAAACUGGGGUCCCGUUAAGGAUUAGCAGCAGUGGGUCUGGGACAGACUUCACUGUCACCAUUAGCAGUCUGGAGCCUGAAGAUGCUGGGACCUACUACUGCCAACAGUCUAACAGCUACCUGCCCACAGUGUUACAGGUGCUGAUGAAAUGCUUUGUUUCCUCCUCUUCUGACCUCCAGAUCUAGGGUAAGGUGCCUCGUGAGCAACUCUGUAGGGAACCAUAGAGGAAAGGGGGCUCAGGAAAAUGUGCUUCCAGAAGUGAUGGUGGUGAUGGGGAGUUGACAGAAGUCAGCCUGGGAUGGUCACUGCUUUUACAUCUCUCAGAAGUUGGCCAGUUAAGGGAAGGCCCCAGAAUAUAUGUGAAUAUGCUUCUAGCUAUCAUCAUUGGGUCAUAACAAGAAGAUUUUGUUAAGUGACUGGGGAACAGAUGGUUGAGGAAAUUGUGUCAUGUAUAUAGAAAUAACCUGACAAUGAAGGACUUUUGUGAUUGGAAAAAAAAGAAAAAAACUAAAUGUGGAUGAAGCAUUGUUUUUUUCUUAAUAUAAGAAUAUCUUGUUGCUUAAAAUUCUCUAUAAAUGAGAGCAUCAUCAACAACCCUGAAAGUCUGUGACAAAUGUGAAAUAGCUGUCUCCACCUGAUACCUACUCAUAUGGCUCUCCAUUUUAACAAGAUGGCAGGAGAGUUGUGUAAGGUUUAAGAUGCUCUGUUAUAGAGCAUUUUUACUUCCCAUAAACUAGUCAUUCUUUAAUUUUCUAUUUUCAUUGAAGACA